rnacentral:rRNA from 1 species
GACAGAGGUGCCAAGCGUUAGGCGGAAUUACUGGGCGUAAAGCGUGCGUAGACGGUAGCGUAAGUCGGGUGUGAAAGCCCGGGCUCAACCUGGGAAUUGCAUUCGAGACUGCUCUGCUAGGUGCGGAAGAGGGAAGCGGAAUUUCCGGUGUAGCGGUGAAAUGCGUAGAUAUCGGAAGGAACACCAGUGGCGAAAGCGGCUUCCUGGUCCAGCACCGACGUUCAGGCACGAAAGCGUGGGGAGCAAACAGG